rnacentral:rRNA from 1 species
CCUUGAAAUACCACCCUUUAAUGUUUGAUGUUCUAACGUUGACCCGUGAUCCGGGUUGCGGACAGUGUCUGGUGGGUAGUUUGACUGGGGCGGUCUCCUCCUAAAGAGUAACGGAGGAGCACGAAGGUUGGCUAAUCCUGGUCGGACAUCAGGAGGUUAGUGCAAUGGCAUAAGCCAGCUUGACUGCGAGCGUGACGGCGCGAGCAGGUGCGAAAGCAGGUCAUAGUGAUCCGGUGGUUCUGAAUGGAAGGGCCAUCGCUCAACGGAUAAAAGGUACUCCGGGGAUAACAGGCUGAUACCGCCCAAGAGUUCAUAUCGACGGCGGUGUUUGGCACCUCGAUGUCGGCUCAUCACAUCCUGGGGCUGAAGUAGGUCCCAAGGGUAUGGCUGUUCGCCAUUUAAAGUGGUACGCGAGCUGGGUUUAGAACGUCGUGAGACAGU